rnacentral:lncRNA from 1 species
UUUAAUACGUUCUGAUUGGUAAAGUCAUAUACGAUGGGUUUCUUUUGCGAGUCUUGUGGCAAAUUGUUUUCUAAUAAAAGCAAUUUCAUUAAGCACCAAAAGAAUGUUCAUAAUGUUAUAACUGAAAAUCAAGUUAUGAAAUAUGCAAUGGAUGCAAAAUUAUUUAAGUGUUUAGAGGGAUGCAAUAUCUCUUUUAAACAUAAUAUGGACUUAAGAUGCCACCUGGACCAACAACAUAAAUUAAAAACUGAAGUUCAAGACUCAAGAGAGAACUUUUGCUAGUUAUACAGAGUUUGUGACUUGGCUGAAAGUUGAGGAGAAGAAUCAGGAUAUAAGAUAUGAAAAAACAACAGGCACAAAGAUAUGAGAUGCUUCAUUGACAGAAAGGAUCUAUUUUGGGUGUGUUCAAUCUGGUAAGCAGCCUAAAGUGCCUGAAAACGAUUUAAGAAGAACUUCAAAAAGCCAAGGGUCCUGCAAGUUGAAUGCUGCAUGCACAAGUCAAAUUAUAAUUAAUAAAAAUACAGAAACUGGAGAAUGUUUAAUGAAAUAUUUUACUUCUCAUUAUCGACAUGGUAAAGACAUUCAGCAUUUAAGACUGUCAAAGAUUGCCAGAAAAACAGUAGCUUCUAAGCUUUUAAUGGGAGUUUCAUCUGAACAUAUCAUCAACUCAACACAUGAUAAGAUCUCCGAAAAUUUUAAGAAAAGGAUGAUCUGCUCACAAAAGAGGAUGUUAAAAACAUUAAAAUGUCCUAUAAUAUCCAUCUUAGGGAUGGUUAUCUCCACAAAGAUGAUGCUACCAGUGUUGACUUAUGGGUGAGAAAAUUAGAAGAUUCUGGGCAAACUCCAGUGCUUCUGUAUAAAAGGCAGGGAGAAUUCAAAAUAGUAAUAAAUUAUUAAGAAAUGAUUUUUGUUUAGUUAUAAUGAAUGAAAGUCAAACUGAUAUGUUAAAAAGGUUUGGUACAAACAUUAUUUGUGUUGACAGUACACUGAAAAAAAAACCGAAAAUAUUACCUUAAUAAAUAUUUAUUUAAAUCUUUUUUAUUUCCACUGAAUACAAUUUGUUUCAAUAAACUAAUUCUUGCUUGUGUCAAAUAAAUGUAUGUAUUUGUAUAAUUUUAGUCAUUAGUUUGAAUAUAUAAUAUUUUUAAUGUUUUUAUUUAAGACAAAUAAUUAUUUAUUUAAACUAAAUUAAAAAAUGAGAGGAGUUACUCAGUUCAUUUUAUCAAAUAAUCGUGUUUUUAAUUUAAAUAUAUUUAUUAAACACAAACAAAUAAGUUUAAAUACAAAUAACUCAAUAGGUACUUUUUCAACACUCAAUCAUUAGAACUACAACAGGAAUCCCCCACCCGAAGCGCAAUUGGGGGUGCGGACCGGCCGGCCGGCAGGUCGCUGUUUGCUUGAUACUGGGAAGAAAGUCACCCAUAGAUUUUUGUCAAAUCGUAGUUUUUCAUCAAAUUCACCAUUAUUUAUUCGCUCUUUACGAUUCAUUUAAUGUUUGUUUGUAUUUUAUAUAACCUGUGGAUAUGCGCAUAACUUGUGGAUUGUGUACCUAAUUAACAGUUCCUAUUAUGGAAAUGGAAACCUUUUUGGACCAAUGUGGCGUGGGUCAUUUGUGGCCUAUAUUUCAGGAGAAUAUUCUAUAAAAAGAAACUUAUUUCAGAGCAUCAUAUAUAGACGACCUCGAUGUCCUACAGAGCAUUAGCGAAAAUGAUCCAACAACCAACCACAGAAAAAUUAAGAAGUGAUGAGGUCACUAAAAACUAUUUAAUGUUUUUGGUUUUGUUGUCUUGUCUGUAUUUUUUAAAGUUUUUAUGUACAAACGAUGCAGCUAACCGUGCUACCAUCGUUGGUACAAAAGUGUAUUUAUUUUACCUCAUAGUGUGGUAUUUCGAAUCCUAAUUUUUUGUUACAUUUGUAACAUAGAGUAAUUAGUUAUAGGAGUCGAUAAAAGUGUCGACUCCUUGUUAUUAUAUUUUUCUAUAUUAUAAGGAUUAAAAAUGUUUAUGUUUUAUUUUCUUAUGGUUUUUGAAUCUUGCAAAUUUAAUGUUAACUAGACUAUUUUGCAGUUUAAAAAUAUUUCAGUUUAAUAAUAAAGAAGUAUUAUUAACAUUA